rnacentral:rRNA from 1 species
GUCCUAUUAGAAUAGAAUAUUAGGUCUACUCUGCCCAUUGAUUGAAAAAAUUUAAAGGCUGCAGUAUAUUGACUGUACAAAGGUAGCAUAAUCAUUUGUUUUUUAAUUGAAAACUGGAAUGAAAGAGUUAAUGAAAUAUAAAUUGUCUCAAAAUAAAAUGUUGAAUUUAAAUUAAAAGUAAAAAUGCUUUUAUUUAAUUAUAAGACGAUAAGACCCUAUAGAAUUUGAUAAAUUUUAUUUUUAUAAUUAUUUUAUUUAAUAAUAUUAUAUAGAUAUAUUAUAUUUUAUUGGGAGGAUAGUUAAAAAAAUUAAACUUUAAUGAAUAAUAAACAUUGAUUAAUGAAAAUUUUGAUUAUUAUUAUAAUUAGUAGAAUAAAUUACCUUAGGGAUAACAGCGUAAUAAUUUUGGAGAGUUCAUAUUGAUAAGAUUGUUUGCGACCUCGAUGUUGAAUUAUGAUAAAAAUUAGAUGGAGGUAUUUAAAUUUUUAGUCUGUUCGACUAUUAAAAUCAUACA